rnacentral:tRNA from 1 species
GGCGUUGUGGCAGAAUGGUCUAAUGCGCAAGACUAGAAACAAGUCUUGUUUUCCUUCGGGAGCGUCUGUUCGAACCAGGCCGACGUCG